rnacentral:rRNA from 1 species
UUGACAGAGCUUGCUCUGUUCAAGUCAGCGGCGGACGGGUGAGUAACACGUGGGCAACCUGCCCUGCAGAUUGGGAUAACUCCGGGAAACCGGGGCUAAUACCGAAUAAUAUUGAAAACCUCAUGGUUUUCUUUUAAAAGGCGGCUUCGGCUGUCACUGCAGGAUGGGCCCGCGGCGCAUUAGCUAGUUGGUGAGGUAACGGCUCACCAAGGCAACGAUGCGUAGCCGACCUGAGAGGGUGAUCGGCCACACUGGGACUGAGACACGGCCCAGACUCCUACGGGAGGCAGCAGUAGGGAAUCUUCCGCAAUGGACGAAAGUCUGACGGAGCAACGCCGCGUGAGUGAAGAAGGUUUUCGGAUCGUAAAACUCUGUUGUCAGGGAAGAACAAGUACGGGAGUAACUGACCGUACCUUGACGGUACCUGGCCAGAAAGCCACGGCUAACUACGUGCCAGCAGCCGCGGUAAUACGUAGGUGGCAAGCGUUGUCCGGAAUUAUUGGGCGUAAAGCGCGCGCAGGCGGCCUUUUAAGUCUGAUGUGAAAGCCCCCGGCUCAACCGGGGAGGGUCAUUGGAAACUGGAAGGCUUGAGUGCAGAAGAGAAGAGCGGAAUUCCACGUGUAGCGGUGAAAUGCGUAGAGAUGUGGAGGAACACCAGUGGCGAAGGCGGCUCUUUGGUCUGUAACUGACGCUGAGGCGCGAAAGCGUGGGGAGCGAACAGGAUUAGAUACCC